rnacentral:tRNA from 1 species
GAGGGUAUGGCUCAGUGGUAGAGCGCAUGCUUAGCAUGUGUGAGGUCCUGAGUUCAAUCCCCAGUACCUCCA